ensembl:snRNA U6 U6 spliceosomal RNA
AUGCUCACUUCAGCUGCACAUAUACUAAAACCGGACUGAUCCAGAUAAGAUUAACAUGGCCCAGGCUCAAGAAAAUGCAUGAAGCACUCCAUAUUUUG